AUGGCCAACCUCGAGCACACUGUCAUCACCAUCAUGCCAGACGGCCUACAGCAUGACCUGGUGGACAAGAUCAUCAAGCAUUUUGAGCAGAAGGGAUUCCGCCUCAUGGCCAUGGUUCCUUCAGGCCUGUGAGGAACACCUGAAACAGUACUACAUUUGACCCGAAAGACCACCCAUUCAUCCCUGGGCUGGUAAUGUACAUGAACUCAGGGCCGGUGGUGGCCAUGGAACAUCAUUCAUGGCAAUGACUCAGUUUAAAGUGUUGAAAAACAAAUCAGCCUGUGGUUUAAACCUGAAGAACUGGUUGAAUACAAGUCUUGUGCUUAUGACUAUGUCUGUGAAUAAGAGGUAGACACUACAACAGUCCCUUUCAGCACCGCUUGGUGUGUCCUUGGACACAGUUCUUCAUUCCACUGACUUGGAAGGAAUAGGCUUAAUCAUUCUUUUCUAAGGCAUAUAUACCAAUAAAACCUUUGGAAGC